AGACCCGAAACCCGGUGAUCUAGCCAUGGGCAGGUUGAAGGUUGGGUAACACUAACUGGAGGACCGAACCGACUAAUGUUGAAAAAUUAGCGGAUGACCUGUGGCUGGGGGUGAAAGGCCAAUCAAACCGGGAGAUAGCUGGUUCUCCCCGAAAGCUAUUUAGGUAGCGCCUCGUGAAUUCAUCUCCGGGGGUAGAGCACUGUUUCGGCUAGGGGGCCAUCCCGGCUUACCAACCCGAUGCAAACUGCGAAUACCGGAGAAUGUUAUCACGGGAGACACACGGCGGGUGCUAACGUCCGUCGUGAAGAGGGAAACAACCCAGACCGCCAGCUAAGGUCCCAAAGUCAUGGUUAAGUGGGAAACGAUGUGGGAAGGCCCAGACAGCCAGGAUGUUGGCUUAGAAGCAGCCAUCAUUUAAAGAAAGCGUAAUAGCUCACUGGUCGAGUCGGCCUGCGCGGAAGAUGUAACGGGGCUAAACCAUGCACCGAAGCUGCGGCAGCGAACGUAUCACCCAAGACAACUUUACGGAGUUGACGAUUGACGGAGCGAAGCGACGUCAAAGCGUUCAUUAAAGUCGAGUUGGCUUAGGGAUACGUUCGUUGGGUAGGGGAGCGUUCUGUAAGCCUGUGAAGGUGUGUCGUGAGGCAUGCUGGAGGUAUCAGAAGUGCGAAUGCUGACAUAAGUAACGAUAAAGCGGGUGAAAAGCCCGCUCGCCGGAAGACCAAGGGUUCCUGUCCAACGUUAAUCGGGGCAGGGUGAGUCGACCCCUAAGGCGAGGCCGAAAGGCGUAGUCGAUGGGAAACGGGUUAAUAUUCCCGUACUUGGUGUUACUGCGAAGGGGGGACGGAGAAGGCUAUGUUGGCCGGGCGACGGUUGUCCCGGUUUAAGCGUGUAGGUGUGUGUUCCAGGUAAAUCCGGUUCACUUUAACACUGAGGCGUGACGACGAGGCACUACGGUGCUGAAGCAACAAAUGCCCUGCUUCCAGGAAAAGCCUCUAAGCAUCAGGUAACAUCAAAUCGUACCCCAAACCGACACAGGUGGUCAGGUAGAGAAUACCAAGGCGCUUGAGAGAACUCGGGUGAAGGAACUAGGCAAAAUGGUGCCGUAACUUCGGGAGAAGGCACGCUGACACGUAGGUGA
rnacentral:rRNA from 1 species